AUACGAAAGGUGCAGGCGUUGUUCGGAUUUACUGGGCGUAACGAGAGUGUAGGUGGUUUAUUAAGUCGGAUGUGAAAUCCCGGGGCUCAACCUCGGAACUGCAUUCGAUACUGAUAGGCUAGAGUUUGGGAGGGGUAAGCGGAAUUCCGUGUGUAGCAGUGAAAUGCGUAGAUAUACGGAGGAACACCUGAGGCGAAGGCGGCUUACUGGACCAAUACUGACACUUAGACUCGAAAGCAUGGGUAGCAAACAGGAUUAGAAACCCGAGUAGUCC
rnacentral:rRNA from 1 species